rnacentral:rRNA from 1 species
CUUGACGACCAUAGAGCGUUGGAACCACCUGAUCCCAUCCCGAACUCAGUAGUGAAACGACGCAUCGCCGAUGGUAGUGUGGGGUCUCCCCAUGUGAGAGUAGGUCAUCGU